rnacentral:tRNA from 1 species
ACCAAGGUAGCUCAGUGGUUAGAGCGGAGGACUCAUAAGCCUCAGGUCGUCAGUUCAACUCUGAUUCUUGGUA